CAAAGACGUUCUUCUGUUAGUUACUGUUUUUACUAGCAAGAAUGUUUUCCAGCAUAAAGGAGAAAAAUCAACCACUUGCUGUUCUAUGCCAGUACAGAGUAACGAUCCAGUGAAGGCAACUCACUCUUCCCCUUCUGGUCCUUGGGCUAUAAAAACAUGACCGCCCGGAAGAAGGUGUCACUUCUCUCCAGAGCAAACAGAGCUGAGAAGCUCCAUAACUUUUAGAUGGCAGACAAAACAGCCAUAAUUGUACCAGCCACAUUAUGCUGGUGACCACAGUUUUUUUUUUGUUUUCUGUUUGUUACACUUUUACGCUUGUGGACGGCCGGGCUGGUGCCCCAAAAUUUAUUUUUGUUUGAGCCUGUUAUUCCUUUGGAUGACCUCAGUUCAAACAAAAUCUUUUUAGGAAAACAAAUGCAAAGAUUAUUGUGAUUUAUCUCAAAGCUAGGAUAACAAGCUCAUGGUGUCACCAUAUUAAAUAAGUGUCGUGAAGACGACCAAUGAGGGCAACUGAAUCCUGCCUACAAUGUCUUCAGAAGACCCGCUUCUUCUGAUUGGAACACUAUAAAGACAGAAGUCCCUGAAAGGUGUCAUCUCACUUUGGACUUGAGCCACCACAUGAUGGAGCAUGACCCACUCAAGUCAGCUAAUUUAGCAAAGCAGCCAGCUUGUCUGUUAAGGCAAAUAUGAAAUCUAAUUUCUGCUGCGCUGAGCACUGGCGUUUAUUCUGUUUUCUGGUGCAUCUUAUUAAAUUGGGUGGCCAGGUUGGCACCCCAACUAUUGAGAUUUUGAGAUUCAUCUAGUUAUUUAGCCCUUCACAACAGGCAAGAAGCCCCUAUUGUGCAGAAUCUGUGAACUAAUGGAUAGACUGGAGUUCUGAGGAUGAAACAAAGUGUAAUAUUAUUGUUUUAAAAUCAUCUCAAAGUGUGCUAUCGCUUCUGCACAAAGCACACAACAAGCGUGAAAUUUGUUUAGCAAAAUAUGGACUAAAGCAUAGAGGACAGGUUUUCAGAAUGAAACAUCUGUCAAACAAAAAGUCAUGCACUCCCUGAGGUGUCUCAACAUCUUUUGGAAAAGCCCUAAGUGACCUUGAUUGAAACUGUACCUAUAUCAUGUUGGCUUCUUUUCAGGAAAAAUGAAUCUAGCAACAUUAGGUGCUUACCCAGAGUGGAUUUAUGGUUCCCUAAUGACAGCUGCAACUGCUGAGUGAAAACAGGCAUACUUUCUCUAUAUGGGAGCUGCCUGAAGUGGUCAUAACAGACAUUGGUCCCCAGUCUGUGAGUGAGCUAUUUUUGGAGCUCAUGUUCUAAAACAGUGACAAAAUCAUUCCAACUAUCUUGUACCCUGAAGCUUCAAAUGGUGUGACAGAGAGGGCAGAUCACAUCAUCCAAAAUGAACCUUGGAAGAUGUAUAUAAAGGAGGCAAUGAAAUCAAGUGUUUUUAUAUCUUCAUUUUAGAAUCACUAAUCUAAAUCACAGGGAAGUCAAAAGCAGAAGCACAGAGCAAGCAGGAUUCUAGGCCUGAUCCAUGGGACCCUGUCCUAUAGAGUUGCUCUGACUACUUGUCAUUCUCUGAUUUUGAACGACCUUAAAAUGAUGCCAUUUUCAAAUACAUUCUAUAAAUUUGUGGAAUACUUAUUAAACCUUGUCAUUUUAUUAAGGCAUUCACUGUUUAAUGACAUCCUCAGUUUUAAUUAGCAUUGUGUUAUUAAUGAAGGGCUGUAUCCAUGUCUAUCUGCAAAAGGAAACAUAGACACAAAAAUUAAAGAGCUAGUUAGAGAAUUAUUUUGGCCUGUGUAGCCUUCAUCUAUGUCACUGUCUAAAAUGGAAAAAAAAAUACAUUGAAUCUCCAAAUGCCUUCAACACAGUGUCAAAAUUGUGCCAUUGGAUUGCUGCCCCAGACCAUAAAUGGUCUCUCAUUAUUGCUGCCAGUUAACUAAUGACAGACCUUAAUUUCAAACAAUUUAUUGGUGGAUUGCUUUGUGAUCUGAUAUUUAGGGAGGCCAAGAUAUUAAGUUAAAUUGUCUGUCAUGAUCCUGGAACCAUCUCAAAACUUUCUAAGCCUUUUGGCUUUCAGCAUGAUCCUAUUGAAAAAGCCCACCAGGAUACUAUCAUGAAGUUCUGUCAUGUACUGCUAUUUUUUGGGACUAUGGAGGAUUUUACUUAAUUACUUAAACGAAUAUUGUUUAUUUUCCAUGAGCACAACCAUCUUGUUUAUUGUUGCCAGGUGUUUGCCAUCAUGUGGAAUAAAUUGCAUAAUGUUUGAUUUCAGCACUGUCAUGCUAUUUAAGAUGUUGGCAUGCAGCACUCUGUGUCCAGCUUGUUGGAUAAAUAAUAACAAAUCUUUUGCAUCUAAAAGUUAUAGUUAGGGGGAUACAUUUUAUGAUUGUGUUCAGGAACCUUUAGACUUUCUUUUUUUGACUUUUACUGUUGUCAUUUACCUUUUCUUUUUGGUAAUUGAUCUGACUGCUCAACCUCUUGGUGAUACAGUAUCUGUUUCUUUUAAUGGUCAUUUUGAAAGUUGUAAUUGAAAUUCAGAUUUUGUUUCUUUGUUUCUAUGAGGCAAUGUGUACUUUAAAAAUAAAUUAAUACUUUUACACCAGCAAUGACAAUUUGCAUGGUUGUCUCUGGGCGGAAUGAAUCAAUGAUAGUUUUUACUAUAGCUUAGUCCAACGAUAAAUCUGAACCAGUAGAAACAAGGCUUCAAAAGAUCAACCGACAUCUUACCAUUGCACCAGAAUCUGUGUUCCCUAGGCUUUUGGAACCACACAGAAAUUAAAUUUGGUUGAACUGCCAGUCUUUAACCACCAGUCUGUGACAAGAUACAAAGACAUAAGGAUUCACUACGUUGGUGGCACUAUUCUACGUAGCCAUUACAUGAAUGACUUCUGAUUAUUCUGCCUAAGUUGUGCUGG